rnacentral:lncRNA from 1 species
CUCCUCCUGCUAGAGUUUGAAAUGGCACCAAGAAAAGAAAGCAUAGUGUUAUUCCCAUUCAUGGCACAAGGCCAUAUCAUCCCUUUUCUUGCAUUAGCCCUUCACAUUCAAAAAACAAAAGUUUAUAAUAUAAUCCUUGUUAAUACUCCUUUUAACAUCAGAAAACUCAGAUCAUCUCUACCUCCGAGUUCCUCUAUUCGUCUUCUUGAAUUACCCUUUGACAGCUCUGAUCAUGGCCUCCCUCCAAAUACUGAAAAUACUGAUGUUCUUUCUUACCCACA